rnacentral:rRNA from 1 species
GAUGAACGCUGGCGGCGUGCUUAACACAUGCAAGUCGAACGGUGAACGAGGGAGCUUGCUCCCUCCGGAUCAGUGGCGAACGGGUGAGUAACACGUGAGCAAUCUGCCCCGAACUCUGGGAUAAGCGCUGGAAACGGCGUCUAAUACCGGAUACGACGCGCGAAGGCAUCUUCUGCGCGUGGAAAGAAUUUCGGUUCGGGAUGAGCUCGCGGCCUAUCAGCUAGUUGGUGAGGUAACGGCUCACCAAGGCGACGACGGGUAGCCGGCAUGAGGGGGGGACCGGCCACACUGGGACUGAGACACGGGCCAGACUCCUACGGGAGGCAGCAGUGGGGAAUAUUGCACAAUGGGCGCAAGCCUGAUGCAGCAACGCGGCGUGAGGGACGACGGCCUUCGGGUUGUAAACCUCUUUUAGUAGGGAAGAAGCGAAAGUGACGGUACCUGCAGAAAAAGCACCGGCUAACUACGUGCCAGCAGCCGCAGUAACAC